AUGGACAAGGCCUGGUGCCUAGCUCUAAAGUUUAUACUGCUGUAAUUGAAGCUUAUGGGCAGGCGGCGCUGUAUGAGGAAGCAGUUGUCGCCUUUAAUACGAUGAAUGAGGUAGGAAGCAGGCCAGUGGUGGAGACUUUCAAUUCUCUGAUCCAUACAUUUGCUAAAGGGGGACUUUACAAAGAAUCUGAAGCAAUAUGGUUUAGAAUGGGUGAGGUUGGAGUUCCCCGGAAUAGGGACUCUUUUAAUGGUAUGAUUGAAGGUUAUAG
rnacentral:misc_RNA from 1 species